UACGUAGGGUCCGAGCGUUUGUCCGGAAUUAUUGGGCGUAAAGAGCUCGUAGGCGGUUUGUCGCGUCUGCUGUGAAAUCCCGAGGCUCAACCUCGGGUCUGCAGUGGGUACGGGCAGACUGGAGUGCGGUAGGGGAGAAUGGAAUUCCUGGUGUAGCGGUGGAAUGCGCAGAUAUCAGGAGGAACACCGAUGGCGAAGGCAGUUCUCUGGGCCGUAACUGACGCUGAGGCGCGAAAGCUAGGGGAGCAAACGGG
rnacentral:rRNA from 1 species